rnacentral:rRNA from 1 species
GAUGAACGCUGGCGGCGUGCCUAAUACAUGCAAGUCGAGCGAACAGACGAGGCGCUUGCUCCUCUGACGUUAGCGGCGGACGGGUGAGUAACACGUGGAUAACCUCCCUAUAAUACUGGGAUAACUUCGGGAAACCGGCUCUAAUACCGGAUAAUAUAUUGAACCGCAUGGUUCAAUAGUGAAAGACGGUUUUGCUGUCACUUAUCGAUGGAUCCGCGCCGCAUUAUGUAGUUGGUAAGGUAACGGCUUACCACGGCAACGGUGCGUAGCCGAGCUGAGGGGGGGUAGGGCGACUGAGAAGGUGAGACGCGGUACUGACACCUAGGGGAGGCAGAGGUAGGGAAUCUUCGGAACAGGGGGAAAGCCUGACGAAGCAGCGCAGGGUUGGUGAUGAAGGUCUGCGGAUCGUAAAACGCUGUUAUUGGGGAAAAACAAUUGUGUAAGUAACGAUGCGCGUGUGAACGGAACCGAUAAAGAAGACCACGGCAAACUACGG